AUGACUCUAAGAAGGAGCACCAUGCUGAUUACUCUUCUCCUUGUUUUGCUCGCCUUUUCAGGCCCAAUCAAAGGAGAAGAUGACUUGGGCGGAGGCGAUGACAGUGACUUGGCCCCUCCUCCUCAUCCAGGGAGCAGUCAUAUGGCUCCUCCACCUCCCCCAUCUCCAAAGAGCCAUCCACCUCCAUCUCCAAACACUGAUUUGGCUCCUCCUCCACCACCUCCAUCUCCAACGAGCAAUCCACCUCAACCGACACAGCCGCCUCCAGGACCGUGUGUGGAAGUGAGGUUGUACAAAGGGCCAUGCGUCAACAUACUUUGCGCGGCCGCCUGUGUCGCGGAGUUCCAUCAGGGUGGCCACUGUCGUGGGAAUAUUUUUUCUGGUGGUUGCUAUUGUUUCUCGUGCUCCGUAGCAAAGUCUAGCCCACGAUUACAUUGA
rnacentral:rRNA from 1 species